CCUACGGGUGGCAGCAGUGGGGAAUAUUGCACAAUGGGGGAAACCCUGAUGCAGCGACGCCGCGUGAGUGAAGAAGUAUUUCGGUAUGUAAAGCUCUAUCAGCAGGGAAGAAGCAAGACGGUACCUGACUAAGAAGCCCCGGCUAACUACGUGCCAGCAGCCGCGGUAAUACGUAGGGGGCAAGCGUUAUCCGGAUUUACUGGGUGUAAAGGGAGCGUAGACGGUAUGGCAAGUCUGAAGUGAAAGCCCAGGACUUAACCCUGGGACUGCUUUGGAAACUGUUAGACUAGAGUGCUGGAGAGGUAAGUGGAAUUCCUAGUGUAGCGGUGAAAUGCGUAGAUAUUAGGAGGAACACCAGUGGCGAAGGCGGCUUACUGGACAGUAACUGACGUUGAGGCUCGAAAGCGUGGGGAGCAAACAGGAUUAGAUACCCUGGUAGUC
rnacentral:rRNA from 1 species